rnacentral:rRNA from 1 species
CCUACGGGAGGCAGCAGUGAGGAAUAUUGGUCAAUGGACGAGAGUCUGAACCAGCCAAGUAGCGUGAAGGAUGACUGCCCUAUGGGUUGUAAACUUCUUUUAUAUGGGAAUAAAAUGUUCCACGUGUGGGAUUUUGUAUGUACCAUAUGAAUAAGGAUCGGCUAACUCCGUGCCAGCAGCCGCGGUAAUACGGAGGAUCCGAGCGUUAUCCGGAUUUAUUGGGUUUAAAGGGAGCGUAGGUGGAUUGUUAAGUCAGUUGUGAAAGUUUGCGGCUCAACCGUAAAAUUGCAGUUGAAACUGGCAGUCUUGAGUACAGUAGAGGUGGGCGGAAUUCGUGGUGUAGCGGUGAAAUGCUUAGAUAUCACGAAGAACUCCGAUUGCGAAGGCAGUUCACUUGACUGCAACUGACACUGAGGCUCGAAAGUGUGGGUAUCAAACAGGAUUAGAUACCCGAGUAGUC